rnacentral:rRNA from 1 species
UACGUAGGGCGCAAGCGUUAUCCGGAAUUAUUGGGCGUAAAGAGCUCGUAGGCGGUUUGUCGCGUCUGCCGUGAAAGUCCGGGGCUCAACUCCGGAUCUGCGGUGGGUACGGGCAGACUAGAGUGCAGUAGGGGAGACUGGAAUUCCUGGUGUAGCGGUGAAAUGCGCAGAUAUCAGGAGGAACACCGAUGGCGAAGGCAGGUCUCUGGGCUGUAACUGACGCUCAUGCACGAAAGCGUGGGUAGCAAACAGG